AAGUAACGAGUGAGAGGUCGACCAUUACGUGGCAUAUGCUGUACUGUGAGUUUGUAUUUGAUGUGGCCGAGGGACAGUCGGGAGCCACCGAGAGUGAUGGAGUCAGGAGAGUGAGUGUCCAGGAUGAACUCAGAACUCUGAGCAGAGGGAGGCCAAUUUUACUCUUCAUUAGCAUGCGGAAGGUUCAUGCAAUGACAGGAAAGGAUGACGUGACACCUAUCAGGUUUACGGAUUGUAGCAUGACACAGUGACGUCCUGGAAUGACAUCCUGAUGUGUAUGUGUGUGCAUGUGCACACAUGGAUGUGUGCAUGUAGAGGCCAGAGGUCAGCGCUGGGUGUCAUUCAUCAGGAAGGCCAUUUGCCUGUCGUAGAUGUGAGGAUAGGUCUCUCACUGGCCUGGGGCUUGCUGACUGGGCUACCCUGACUGGCCAGGUAGCCCCAGGGAUCUUCCCUCUCAGUCUCUUCCACAGUGGAGCUGCAAGUACUUCCCACUCUGCCUUGCCUUUUAUGUGGGUCAGGGAAGUAGACUAAGUCCUUAUUCCUGCAAAGUAAACCUUUAUUGACUGAGCCAUCUUCCCAACAAAGAACAAGUACGAUGCGUUUUUAUUCUUUAAUCUUAAACUUUCUGGGCACCGUGUGUGUUUGUGUGUGUGUGUGUUGCAUAGAUCCUUUUAUAUCUUGUUCAGAUUUCUUCCAACAUCACAUUUCUUUGAAGGUAUAAUAACUUGCUCAAUAUCUCUUCCUUUUUAAUUUUCCCCACAGUAAGACCGGUUACUCUUUUUCUAGCAGCUGCCUUGACUUCAAGAGACUUUAAGCUCCCAAGAACUCAAGGCCAGACAUAGUAUGGGUAUCUCAUGAAAUCUGGCAUUUCCCCAAAGCAGCAGUGAAUCACUUGGGAAUGAUGGGUCAUGGGUGGUUUCCUCAUGGUGGUUUUGUAUCCAGUCUGUUACGAUCAGCUCCUGGUGAGUUCUUCCUUCUGGCUCACCUUAGUUACUGUAUCUCAUCCCCACACUCUUUGUUUGCCAAAGCACUAGCCUUCCUAUUUUCUUCUACCAUAUUCGCGCUUUGGUUUUCAAAACUCAAGUAAUCCAGGGAGGAAACUCUCUGCGGCCCUCACUUCCAUGAGGGUUUGCAUUAGAGAACUCAACUUGUUCGUCUUUGUAGAAAAAAAAUGUCAGUUUGACACCUGAGAUUUGCUAAAUAUAAAUCCUAUUUAAUGUAAUUGAGCUGUCGCCUUAAAACAAAAUAAAAACCAUAUGAUGGCUAAUCAUAGCCAGGAGCUCUUGACUGUACACAAUGAGGUGCCAAAUGUGGCAGGAAUUCACCAUUUCUAAUUAGGAGUGGAAACAGGAUCUUGGGAUUCCAUUAGAACAUUUAGAGCAGUCAGUCCGGCCCAAGGCUGGUGGGUAGCUCAGUGGUAGAGCAUUGCCCUUGGCAUGAAUGAGGCCCUGGAUUCGAGUCCUCCACUCCAGCACACAAACUCUACCC
rnacentral:lncRNA from 1 species